rnacentral:rRNA from 1 species
UGGGGAAUAUUGGGCAAUGGGCGAAAGCCUGACCCAGCAACGCCGCGUGAAGGAAGAAGGUCUUCGGAUUGUAAACUUCUUUUAUGAGGGACGAACAAAAUGACGGUACCUCAUGAAUAAGCCACGGCUAACUACGUGCCAGCAGCCGCGGUAAUACGUAGGUGGCAAGCGUUAUCCGGAUUUACUGGGUGUAAAGGGCGCGUAGGCGGGGAUGCAAGUCAGAUGUGAAAUCUAUGGGCUUAACCCAUAAACUGCAUUUGAAACUGUGUCUCUUGAGUGUCGGAGAGGUAGAUGGAAUUCCUUGUGUAGCGGUGAAAUGCGUAGAUAUAAGGAAGAACACCAGUGGCGAAGGCGAUCUACUGGACGAUAACUGACGCUGAGGCGCGAAAGCGUGGGGAGCAAACAGG